UACGAAGGUGGCAAGCGUUACUCGGAUUUACUAGGCGUAAAGGGCGCGUAGGUGGUUCUGUGUGCUCCGCGUGAAAUCGCCCGGCUCAACCGGGCGGGGUCGCGGAUGACUACAGGACUGGAGCCUGGGAGGGGGAAGCGGAAUUCCCGGUGUAGUGGUGGAAUGCGUAGAUAUCGGGAGGAACACCAGUGGCGAAGGCGGCUUCCUGGACCAGAGCUGACACUGAGGCGCGAAAGCGUGGGGAGCGAUCCGG
rnacentral:rRNA from 1 species